AUUGAACGCUGGCGGCAUGCCUUACACAUGCAAGUCGAACGGUAACAGGUCUUCGGAUGCUGACGAGUGGCGAACGGGUGAGUAAUACAUCGGAACGUGCCCGAUCGUGGGGGAUAACGAAGCGAAAGCUUUGCUAAUACCGCAUAAGAUCUACGGAUGAAAGCAGGGGACCGCAAGGCCUUGCGCGAACGGAGCGGCCGAUGGCAGAUUAGGUAGUUGGUGGGAUAGAAGCUUACCAAGCCGACGAUCUGUAGCUGGUCUGAGAGGACGACCAGCCACACUGGGACUGAGACACGGCCCAGACUCCUACGGGAGGCAGCAGUGGGGAAUUUUGGACAAUGGGCGAAAGCCUGAUCCAGCCAUGCCGCGUGCAGGAUGAAGGCCUUCGGGUUGUAGACUGCUUUUGUACGGAACGAAAAGACUCUGGUUAAUACCUGGGGUCCAUGACGGUACCGUAAGAAUAAGCACCGGCUAACUACGUG
rnacentral:rRNA from 1 species